GUCUCAGGCCGUAUCAGCCUGAAGGCGCCCGAUCUCGUCUGAUCUCGGAAGACUAAGCAGGGUCGGGCCUGGUUAGGAUCUUGGAUGGGGAGACCACCUGGGAAUCCCGGGUGCUCGAGGCU
rnacentral:rRNA from 1 species